UGCGUAUUAUCCUUCGCUGCGUAAUAAGAAGGUCAGUUCAGUACGUGCAGGUGUUAAGUGUAGUGUUUCUUCUAUUUUACAUCGUAUCGUGUGUGAUUCAAGAUUCAAAAGACUUCGAAUUACAAUUUGCAUACUGUGAGCACGAGUUUCAAUCGAAUUACUUUCGUUACGCGGGGAUUCAAUGUCGUUUCCUGAUCUCUGGGGAUCUUUGAAAGAGCCGGAGAAGAAAAACAGCGUUUGAUGAAUAACCACACGAUGACGAACAAGCUUUCGCCGAGGAGGGAGGGAGGAAGGGCAUUACCAUGACGAUUCCCGGCAAUUAAUUCGGGCGGAGGAAAAUCGGCUGUAACCCGGGCCGAAGUUUUUAUUCGAACCCCGUGCCGAAAAAUCCUCUUUAUCAGUAUACGCGCACGCGGAACCAAUCCUGCGAUUAAUCAGUUCCAUAUUAAUGACCUCGUUAAUUACGCGGAUGAAGUGAGACGCAUCGAGUCCAAUAAUUUAUGCGCCGUCCGUCAAACGUAUUGAUUGAAUCCAUCGGGUUUUAUCAUUGACCACCGUUUAACAAUGUUUCGUUUCUACGAUGUUCGUUCGUGAAGCUACGAACAUAAAAUUGUGUCGCGACACGCGUACCAUUCUAUUGAGCGACUGAUGGCCUCUUAAGCCGCGGUUCUUGCCGCAACUUUUUCUUAAUACAAAUCAGAAUUGAUGGUUAUGGUCGUAUCUAACUGCCCAUAAAUAUACUGUUUAUAUGAAUAAACUGCUGCCGCUUACGUAGCGAUUUAGCAAAAUGGAUUGCAUAUCCCCAUAGAAAUAAAUAUAUAGCAAAUACGUUUGCUCCAGAUAGAAAAAAAAUUCAAUGAAACGCAUUAACAACAAUCGUAUUUUAUCUAAAUUAACUUUAAUAGCAAAACUAGGAACAUCGUUUGUCACUCGACUGUGAAGUUUAACUCGGGAUCAUAGGAUAAUGAUUUACUCUAGAACGGCACGCUCCUCAACAACUUCUUGGACUGGCAACUUGUGUGCCUGACGCGAGUUACACCGUUCACGGCUGACAGUUACACCUGCACAUAUGUCCGACUGUCGUGCGCUGCAGCUUGAGAUACUCGCCUAAUGCGCCGUUCUUCAUCGUCCCUGUGGUUCUAUCAAUGGACCUGUAUGUCUGCAACUGCUGAGCACCAGGAAAACAGUAUAACCCGUUCACCGAUGCAAUUUACCAUUCCUAGUUUCGCAAUUGUUAAAAUAAAAUCACAACUGUGUUUGCCAAGUGUUCAGUGAAAUUCUGUGGAUUUAUGGAUGUAUGGAUUUUAUUAUAAAAUCGAAAUUAUAUAAAAUUGAUUUUAUGUUACAUAAAAAUUCACUACUCAUAAGGAUCUGAACGUAGAUCUUCAAACAACAGAAAUUAGCAUAAUUGCAUUUGGCAAGUGAAUGAUUAAAAAGAAUACGCAUCGUCGUUUAAUGGGUCGAAAUUAAUAAUCGAACCGAUGGCAGCAUUAAUGCAAUUUCUGCCGCGUCGCAAACAGUGUCUAUGUCACGCGCACGCAUCGAGUAAUUUAUCGUUCAAUAAUUCAGCGAGACACGCGGUAAGGAUCAUCCAUAGACAUGACACUUUAUAUCCAUAGAGAGAGAGAGUUCCUUUUGCCCGACGAGAAUUAUAUUCGGAUAUGAACCGUUAUUAAUUAUGCAAACCUUUGAACGAGGCGUUAUCAGCUGUUUUGCAUCGGCGAGAGAAAUCUGUGUGCCCUGCCGCUAUCGGUUCGCAGAAUUAAUCGAUCGCGGAAUUUUCGCCCGUCGAAGUGGGACGGUAACUCGUUCGCUUAAUCGCCGAGCUAAUCCACUCUCCUCGCGAGACGCAAAUUCCAUAUGAGCGAUGAUUAACGCUACAUAGUAAUUAUCCACAAAAGGUAUUCCUUAUUGCGUACACGUUCGGAAUGGAUGCUGCGCCCAAUACCGGAUUUAUACAACACGUCCGCUUAUAAUGGAAUUUCCUAGUAGCUGGUAUCGAUGCGUGAACGAUAGGCUUACGCCAUACCGGAAGCAUGCCGCGAUCCUAAAUCAUGUACCAAAGCCGAAAACGUACCGACGUAGCGCGAACGAUAAAAUUCAUUGGUACCUGGUUAAACGAUUUCCGCUAUUAGGUAGCCAAGUUGCAACCGGGUCGAGAACUUCGCUGAGGAAUUUGCAUGGGUAUCGGUGGUUUGACGCCGACAGACGCCGAUAGAGGCAAUGAUAAUUUGCGAGCCGUAGCGGAGCCGUGGAUCGAUUCGUGCC